rnacentral:tRNA from 1 species
GGGGAUAUAGUUUAGUUGGUAGAACGUCUGCCUUGCACGCAGAAGACCAGGGUUCAAAUCCCUGUUUCUCCA